UGUCCAGCCUCUCCAUAAUGGAGGUUAGGGCCAAGGAACUGAGCAAAUGGCACCUCGGGCGAGGAUGGUGUGGUCAAGUGUACCGACUCCGGAGGAGGAGUGAAGGGAGCAGUUGAAGGUUCAGUGGUGAAGGUGGAGAAAACAGGUGGUGAAACUAACUGAGUUUCAUGAGCAUAAGGGCCAAUUGCAAAAAUUGAAGCAGGCCCUGGGGAGUACUUACUGGCAGAAAUAGAGGUGAGAGAUACUAACCCAGCUGGAGAUUGAGUAGCAGAAGGGGGUUCAGAUGGAAGGAAAGAUGCAGGAGAGGAA
rnacentral:lncRNA from 1 species